GCUCAUAAGCUCGAGAAUAGGAUUCUCUGUGAGGAGGCUUAGGCGGAGCUGAGGUUCGCGGACCUGGAGCCGCCGCCUUGUUUUGCCUCUACCCACACGUUGGGCGCACAGUGGUACAGCCAGGGACGACCGGCGGGGUGCGGGUACCGGUGUUCGCCGCGCAUGCGCAGAGAGGCUCCGACGCGGAAGUCGGUGGGAGCGGGUCCCUGGGGGGCCAGGCCGGCACCUGCCGGGGCUCCCAGUCACCGGGAGCUGCUUCGCGCACGGGGAUACUGAACGUGUUUCACUGGUCCUGGUCGCUGCCAGCCCAGUGUGCCGGGGUGGGCGGGCUGUGCGCGCUCGGGGUCUCUCCCCGGCAGCCGGGCGGCUCUGAGGGGCUCCGGUGCUGUGCGGGGCGCGGACCGGGACUUGUUCUCCCGGGGCUCCGUUUGGAGGGAGGCCUGGAGGCCCCGAGGGCGACGUUGGGCCUUCUCUUUUCUUGCUUAUUCUGUAGAUGUGCGUCCCUGCGUUCCCUCAAUCCGAAAUAAAGCCGUUUAGGUGUGUGACGUGCCCGGGGCUUCCCUCAAACAAACACCACUUGCUGCUCGAGGACGCUGAGCUGAGGGCUGGCUGAAGCCGGGAGAAGGCAGGCCGCUCCGGCUGGCGUGUGUUGGCCCCAUUCUGGGGUCUUGAGGAGAUACAGGGCUGAAAACAAAGACAUCCAAACCUUGAGCCAUUUAGAAGAGGAAGAAGCCAAAACCUGUGCCAGAGGUUUGACUGCUGGGUUUACUCAUGGCUUCAGAGGUCCCUUUGAUAGCAGCUGUGGAAAAUGGGAGUAAAAAGAACAUCAUAAAAUCUACUGGUCCAUCCUCCUACCCCAGCAGGGUUGGCCACAGCUGUAUCUCUCCCAGCAGACACGUGCCCAUACCAGAAACUCUCCAGGCAAGGUAAGCUGUGCCAAUAUGUCCUUCUGAUGUUUCUCCUUUGGAAGCUUGCAGCCCUGAGCCCCCUGUCAAAGCCUCUUUACAUUGUUUUCUCUUGGAUCCCACUGACCUUCCAACCCUUAAUUUGGGAACUGCUCUAUUUCAGUGAAAACACUUGCUGCUCAUCCCUUGGUUUAGUUAUGUUGGAGAGUAUUUGUUCAGUACAUCUCAGAGUUGGGUUUGUCAGGGCAGAAGGAAAGACAGGGUGUUUGGACACUGCUUUCCCAAGAACUGACUCUUUCAUCUCUUCUAUGUCUCUGCUGGUGCUUUGGAAAGAGAGGCGGCAAUGCGGCACAGACCAGGGGCUUCUCCUCUUUGUUUUGCUGCUCUUUGCUCCCCUCCCAGGCAGUGUGGGAUAAUUACUGUUGUGAUGCUGAACCACAGCAUGCUCUGCAAUAGCUCCACCACAGUAGCUGCACCAGCUUUGAUUCUUUCUCUGAGGGCUGCUGCUCUACAAGUCUUCCCAAAGAGUAAGCAUGACUUCUUCCAUCUCCACACUAGUUAGACAACAUAGUGAUUUGUAGGCGCCCUGGUCUCCUAGAGAAGCCUUUCCUAGAACUGGGAACAUCAUUUACAAACCCCAUAUGGCCAUAGCAGACAGAGCUUUCUACUGUUUUCUUCACUACUGCUAUUUUAUGUGGAGUAGCUUGGACUGGCUGGAUUGCUUCUACUAUAUACACAUCUAGGGAGUAACAGAAAUCCAGAGACAAAAGAGACCUGCUGCUGCCGUGCUUGCUGUCAUGGUGUAAUUACAUCAUAAGUUUCCUUUGUUCAUAAAGCUGACUUAAGAAAUUCCUGUUCUUGCACCCCAUUUUGCAGCCCCCUCAGCUGUACUGACACUGCUGAUUGUAGGGCUGUGUUCUGUGCUUUGAUAAGAAGAUCGAAGUUAGCUUCUCCAGCCCUUUUCUGGAAGGCUUAUUUUUAACCUGUGUCUUUUUGUUUAUUGCUGAACAUGCCACAUUGUGCAACUCCCCCUUCAAUGGCAAGGGAGUCGAUUCUGCUCCCAUUCAGGUGAAAGGACAUUCAGCGCUUUGAUGCUUCUUUAGAUGCUAAAUGCUGGGCUGGCACCCCUGUUCAGAAAUGCUGCACCAGGGGAAGAAGGGGAGAAUCCUUAUGGUCCAUCCCUCAGCUGUGCUUUCCUCUGCUUGUGCAUAAAGCUUAUCACCCAUCUCAGGCUACCACCUUAUCCGAUCUCCCCAGCUGCAGAAUGACUGACCUAGCAGAGACCUGACCAAGAAACCUGACUAUGGAAAUUUGAGGCUUUCUGGCAAGCAACCAUGAUGCUCAUGCAACUUAGGAGGUAUCUUAGAGGCAUGGUUAAACAUUACUUUUAGACUUGUUCAUUGCUUUUGGAUUCUCAAUACUCCCUUUAAAUGGAGGGAUCAGUCCCACCUUCCCGAUAUGCAGUGCUGUCUUACAGCACUGUGCCUUUUUUCCUCCAGGAGCAGCUGCCCUUCCUUUCUCAUCACAGUGACUGAUUUGUGUACCCAGGUUUGUUGAAGUCCCCUUAGGACUGAAGACAGUUACAGUGUCUGAAACUUGUUAUUACAGAGGCAGCCCCCAGCAAAGCCUGAUAUUCCUCACACUUCCUUCCAGUUCAAAGUUUACUGUAUGGCCUCCAAACUCCUGUACAAGGAAACUGUGCUCUCAGCACCAUCAUCCAUCUCCUUUUUGACAUUGGAAGUCAGGCCAGGGUUUAAUGGGUUGAAACACAACUCCUGCUCUCCAGCCUCAGCUCUUCAGGGCCUGUUAGAGCCCUCAAUCCACACAUUGGAAAAGCAUUGGCUUUCACUGCUUUUUUUCUCCCUCAUCAGACACAAAUUAAUGACCUUCAAGCAGUGCAAUGAUACUGCCUUGAGCUCGCUACUCAGCUGAGCCACUUUGCUCUCAGCUGCUGAGUGCAUCGGAUACAAACAUUUUCAAAUUUCCUGGGGGGUAUUGUGUUUGCCAGGAGCCAGGCUCUGAGCUCUCCCUCCCUCCCCGGCUGAAUUACCCCUUUGAUUAAUAGCUGACUUACAGUCCUCUUGCUCCUUGCAAACAGGAGCUUGAGCCCUCACCAUUUAACAGGGGCGUGGGAUAUGUGAAAAGCUGAAAUGUCAGCACAUCACAACACCCAUUAAUCAUAAAACUGCUCCAAAAAAAAGGAAAAGGAAAGAAGAGAAAGGAAUUAUCAGAAAUAUCAAGGAGCCAAUUUAAUUGAGGCAAAGACAUGCGUGGCGGCUGCUUUUUAACUUUACCUACGUCUCAAUUAGACAGGGUUGGAGUUCUCUUUGUUUCUGCUUUGAGAAGUCUAAAACUCUGCAGGUUUGAUCAAUGACAAGGGACAGAGAGGAAAUGAGCAGGAGACGAAAGGGCUGAGUUUCCCUAGAAGCUGUCAUGGUAAUUUAUGGCCCUGGCUGAUAAAACUUUUAACUAGUCAAAUAUGAGCUAGGAAAUAGCAAAAGCAAAGCGAGCCUUGGAGUAACAAUGCCAACCAGAAAAGUCUUCUGGGAAGCAUAACCUGCUAUGAACAGCUUCUUGCCUGGGAAAAGCUACUCUUGACUCAUUCUCAUUCCUUGGCUUGCUGGGGACAGGUCUUGUUCUGGAAGAGCCUAGUGCUGUGAUUUUUUUUUUGGUCAGUUAUGCUUCAGCUGGUGACAGCAAUCUCUCUGCUUGGGGUAUGGUGGCAAAGGUGGCUGGAGGGUGAUGCAACCAGUCUCAUCAAAAGAAAGUUAUAGGAAGAAGACAAGCACAUGUGUCCCUUGGGUGACCUGUCCUACAAAGUAAGCAGCACCAAUAUGUGUCAGUAGUAUGGGAAGCUUAGCUGCCUUAAGAAAUGGCACUGGUGUUUUGGUAUGACUGUGUUUGUGGGGAACAACCACUUUCUGCCCUUUGAAUCCAUGCUCAACUAAAGAGUCAGAAAGACCUGGAUGAACUGUACAGUUAGUGAUAGCUUUAAUCCCUUGCAAAUAUCACAGCAUUUCUCCCUAGGACAGAGUACCAUCAUCCUGGACCAACUCUAACCCACUCAAUUAAUUUAGCUCUUUACACAUUUUCUGGCUGGAAAAUGUGCAGUGCUUCAAUAGCUGAACUGUGCCUGACUUUUCUCUUUGAAGAGAAUUCCAUGGUGGUGAGAAGCAAUGGAUGUUUGCAGAAUAAGACCACCAACUGGACACCAGGAAGCUGUUUUCUGUAUGGGGAGCCCGAAGCCAACUGUCAAUUUCUUUUAAAGAAGAAAUCCGUGAGAGAAGAAAGUUAAUAGGAUCUCCUGGUCUCUUACCCACCCCACUGACAUUCACAUGGUCCUGUCUGCCACCCCAAAUGCUAUGUCAUGUAGUGACAGUAACUCCAUCAUGAGAGGACAUUAGUGCGAAGCAUUGGCCAGUGAAUUUGCACUUCAAGCAACUUUGUCAUAUACCAGAGGCUUUAGAAACAGCCUCUUUUUUGGCUGGAGGCUGCCUCCUACAAACUUCAUGACAUUUCAUCCUUGCUGGGUUGGCAAGCUCCUUUCUUCCUUCCUUUCUCUUUCAACAUCCCAGAAACCUGUAGCUGACAUUUUGAUGAUGCUCUAAGGAAGAGGCAGUCAGGUGAAAGCUGAUUCCUCUUUGCCCACUAGCAGUUUCAGCCAGACAAAGGCACAAGGGUCAGAGAGGUCAUCUCUCCUCCAUAACUCAAAGCACGUCUAUAGGGGCCUUGGGACAUGCCAGUAUUCAGCCACUGGUCUGAUUCAGGUCCCAGGGUUUCAUUCAGCACCAUUUAUUCCAGCUAGAAAGUUUCUCUAGAGCUCAGUGAGGGUACAAGGGUUGGGACACUGCUAACCUUAUCUCUCCGUACCAAUUUCUUUGGAGGAUGAAUGCAUAGAGUGACUCAGGAACCUCUGUAGAUCUUGGUCAUAAAGCCAAAAUGCCUCCAAGCUGUGCUGGCCCAACUGUCAGCAGUGAGAGAAGAGGCUGCAUAGACACCCUGACAGAAAAAGGUGGGCUUUGUGGAGGCUGACAGUUGUUACGGAAACCUGUGCUGAGCAGUUGUUGUUCUCUGACUUGGCACCUGAACUACCUUCUCCUCCUCCAAGCCCAGGAGUCACAACUAUCAGUUUGCACCCACAGGCAUAGCAGAGGCGGUCAGAAGGCAGCACUGCCUGUGGCAGUAGCUACCUCCAUGUAAGCUGGGUAUACACCAAAACCACAGUCAUCCUCUCAGUUUUAACAGCGGAGGCCUUGUUGCCUGUGGAAUUUGUCAGGGGUUAAAAAGGAAAACCGAUUCUGUUUCUCACAGUCUUGUCCAUCUUCAGCAUGUUUUCAGUUGGAAAAACACUGGCCUCUCUCACCACAUUAUCCAAUGUUUGAGACAACGUUUGAUCCAACACAGUUAAUACAUAUAAAUCCUAGCAUGACUGGCAGCUACAGAUGGGUGAACCAAGAAAUUGCUUGACAUAUUUGCUUGCACUGUGUAUGAAACUGAUUAUCUUGUACAGGAAGGAUAACUCUAAAUUAUCAAUAUUCCACUGGAUCCUGGUGGAAUUGAAACAAAUUUGAAAAGAUUUGCCAAAACCAAGAGACAUCCAUAAGCGUACAUAUAUAGAUUUAUACAUAUGCAAAUAUACUGUGUCACUGAAGGUGUUACCUGCAUGGUGCCUAUUUCUCUCACAAGCCUAGACCCACAUUAAUUCACCCAUGUGAAUCCUCUUUGAGCAUUCACAUCCCUAAGGGCUAUCUACAGUCACGAGCUGGUAGAGGAUGAUUUCUCAAAUGUGCCUAUCAAGGUCAUGUCUCCCUUCCUGCCCUCUUACAUCACUCUAUUCUUGACCACAGGAUUUCUCCUUCUCUCCUGCUUCCCUGGUUCCUUGCUCAAAGCCUUGGGCCAGUGCUGUUCUGUGCUGUAGAAGAGCACUUUGGACCUGAUUCUCGUUUACACUAAAACAGAUUUUACAGCGCUAUGGCAGUGUAAAGAAACCAUGAGAUGAAUAUAGAUCACUCCAAUUUAAAGCUCCUUUAUAUUAUAUAAGGGAACACCAUGAAAAUGGAAAUUGGGUCCCCUAUUUUUAAAGCCUGACAGCAGGUGCCUAUAAAACUAGGAAAGAUACUUUUAUUGCCUGUGCAAUAGGGAAUUAUAUCCUUCCCUGCAUUCCUCUUUGUUGUGCUGUUGGCCAAGCAAGAAGUAACAUGCCCCAGAAGAGACCUCUGAGUGGCUAAUUGCAGGGUAAGCCUGGAUGCUACCUACCUGUCAGAGAAUGUGAUCCAUGUGUAGCAGGAUGUUAGUGGGUUCAGUCCCAAUGGGAAAAGCAGGUGCAGUAGCAGUGAUUUGCACCCCAUGUCCACCAGCUGUUCCAUGUGGGCAAGGAUGGGCCAGGCCAGGGAAAGCUGAUUCACUGCUACAGCUCAUCACACCUUGGCUUUCCUGAUCACCCCCAUCACCACUUCCCAUCUCUCACCACGCAUCAUGCAGUGCCAGCGGCCGUGGCUGCCCAGAAGUGAGGCAUCUCCACCAAGCAUCCCACUCACUGGCAGUGAUCCCCAGGGACCAGCAUGCUGAUGCUUUGCAAUGUGGUGGUGAAGAUGGUGGAAUUGGCUCUGCUCUACACGUCAGAUCCCUUCCACUUUUCCUCUCUGUCCUUUCUCUCCCUCUGAAACAGGACUUCUGCCGUCCCUGCUUGUUCAAUGACCUUUGCUGACUGUCCUCUGGAUUUUAUCAACCCAAGCACUAAAGAGAACCUGGGAAAGCUGCAUGGCAACUGGGACUGCCUGACUGUUUCAUUGUUCCCUGCAGGAACCUGAAUGCCACCUCUCGAGUAUUGCUUCCCUCUUGGGUGAAUGAAGGUUUAUUUUGUUCCUCAUGUCUCUGGUAAUGGGAAGUUUGGGCUUGGAGACUGACUUCCUGUUGCUCCUCAGUGGGGAGUUCAGGGAAACCUGCAGUAGAAGAGGUGUCCAUUCAUCUUCAUCUAGUGCUGGUCCCAGCAGCGGGUGUGGGUCUGUGUACGUGGGGCUGACUCAGGGACUGAAGGGUAAUUCAUGCAGCCCAUAAGCAGACAGAGCUGGCAGAGAAGGUGACAGGUGGACAGAAAUGCAGAGGAUGGAAAAAUGCUAACUCAAACAAAGCCAAUAAUCUGUUUCCUAGAGUUGUGGGUGCCAUCAUGGGCAAGGAGCAGGGAGAGAUAAUUUAAACCAUUCAGUGACAUUGAUGUGUCUUCACUUAAGAGAAGGAAAAAUCAGAUUUCCAGUGCAGAGAACUCUGCGAAACCCCUCCAGUAUGCAGAAAGGUGGUGAAGCAAGGCAAAGAACAGCUGGAAAUACGUUAGGAGAUCAAUUAUGUGGCAAUGCCAUUAUAUUUCUAGAUGGCUUGUUUUUACCUGCAAUACUAUACUCUGCCCUGGAAAUCUGUCCAUAAAAGAUGUAGAAGAAGUAAAAGGAAUUGGCAACCAGGCAGAAAAAACUUAGAAGUGGUGCAAAAUACUGUAUCUUUUUAUCAAACAGAGGAUAUAUAUAACAAGGACGUGGUAGACCAGAGUAAAACAAUAGAUGGGCUAGACAAGGUGUACUGGAGGCUCCUAAUUACUUUCUUUCUCAGAGAUGAUUCAUUACAUUGAAAAACUGCACAUAGGAAGCUAGAAAAUUAUUUUUGUGUAAUACAUAGCUACAGGUCUGUGGAACUCCUUGCUGUAAAAAAUUAAUGUGUCCAAAAAACAGAGUGGGAACAAAAUAAAAAAAUUAUGCAUGAAUAUGGAUUAUGGAAAUAAACCUAAUUUCGUAAGAUGAACUCUCAAUCCCCAUGAUUCAUGGCAGAAACCAGUUUCUAUGAGAUGGGUGGUAGCGGCAGUUUCCCCAAGGGAUACAUGCUUUUAUAAAUUUAUAUGUUGCAGAGUUUUCUUCAUUAUCCUCUGGAAGUCUUGAUAAGGAUGUGACCACAGCACCAGUUAAAGUUCCUGCCCAUCCCCAUGUUUCAAGUCAGUCUCAAGAGCCAGUUCCAGAGCCAAUGGAGACAGAUUCAGAGAAUGAAUGGUGGUUUUGCCUCCCUUCCUUCCUUUCUUCCUUCCUUCCUUCCUGCCUGCCUGCCUUCCUAUCUUCCUUCCUUCCGUCCUGCCUGGCUGCCUUCUUGCCUGCCUGCCUGCCUGCCUGCCUUCCUUUCUUUCUUCCUUCCUUUCUUCCUUUCUUUCUUCCUUCCUUCCUUCCUUCCUUCCUUCCUUUCUUCCUUUCUUUCUUCCUGCCUUCCUGCCUUCUGGACAUGGGACUCUGCACACACUGGCUGUGCAAGCAGAAGAAGGUGUCUCCCAGUUAUGAUGAUGACUAACCAUAGGUGCAAUUACUUUGGCCACUUCAAACUCAUCCCACUACAAUUAAAAAGGUACCUACACAUCACCUAGGACAUGACUGGUGGGCAACACAAAGCAGGAUUUGGCCUGGGUAGUGUAACAUUUAUUCCACAGGCUUUGAGCUUGUGCAGCCCUUGUGGGGGCUACUGUAGGGGAAUGUGGUGCCCUUUCUGUUAUGCUGAGGCUGUCAAGAAUCCACUCAAGCGAUGUAGCCAAGUUUAUUGGAAAAUCGUUGGAGGAAAUCAGCUUGCAGGUUGUCUUUAAAGGCAGAUGAGCCUCAUUCCCCUUCUCCCUCUUCAACUGUUCGAAAUUGAAACCGGCAAUGCCGGGGGCUGGGGCAAGGGCCCAUUUUCCAGUCCUGAUUCUGACUCACAAGCAAGCCUGUCCUCCUGCCCUCCCCACAGGCUCCCUGUCUGUGGAGCAGAGAUAUUUACUUACCAGUGAGCACAGUUCCCCAAGCAAAAAAGUCAUCGAGCUGCGGUGCUCAUGCCCCUGAUUCUGGGAGAGCAGGCAGGUGGCAGCUGGCCAGUAAACCUGAAGAGCCCCUUUGAAAUGGCCCAGCCCAGCAGCCUAACUGGCUGCAGGCUGAAGUCUUCACAGCUCUCUACUGGAAGUUAGAGGAGCCAAAUUAUCAUAAAAGGCAAAACAAGGGUCUAGUGCAGUGCCUCAAAAACCUCUGCAGCUUGUUCUGGGAAUAGCUGCAUGGGCAGACCUGCCAGGUCCCCUGCAAAGCCAUGGACAGUGCAGCAGCUUGAGCUGGGGUCCACAUCCAUAGCCAGGGUCUGACUUCCCAGCCCUGACCUGGGAAGGGACCUCUUUGGCCAAAGGCAGUGGCUGUGGCUCUCCACUCCUCCCGCAGCAAACUAACAUCAUUGCUCAGACAGAGUUGCUCCUGAUGUCCUCCCAUCAAGCACCAAGGGAGUGAGUGGGGCUAUUGGGGGCCUGCCCUAAUCGAAGGGACCAAGGCGAGUGGCAAGCAAACAGGUGGUGUGCUCUGCCUGACCUGACCAGGGUUAUUGUGGAGUGGUGGGUGGCUGUUAUUCCAUCACCUAUGCAGCUCCAGCUCGGUGGUUCAUUAGCAGGUAGGAUAUAUUAGUAACUGUCAAACAAUUGGAGAGCUAACUUGUUGGGUGAAUGGAUGAAAACAUUUUAACUCCCACAAAAGAGGGAGAGGCGGUUAUUAGCUAGUGAGACGACAAUAUGAAAUGUCAGAGGCACAGACAGUAAGCACAACUGUUCAUUAUUAUAUUAACAGCUUUAAUUUUCUGCCUUUAAACACCAGUUUCCUGUCAGUGCAAUUAGAUUGCGUGUGUGUGUUUAAUUUAGAUCAAUAUACUGCUGUGUCUGGAGUUUUCCUCACACAUCCUCUGCAAGGCAAGAAGCAGACCAGCCAGCAGGAGCAUCUUUUCUUAUUAUCCUUGGGGUGAAAGGCAGUGUGUGAAGACAGUAUUUAGGUGAUGCAUGGCCCCAUGGUAGGUGAGUGUAACCUGCAGUGAUUUAUGAAAUUCCCACAGAAUGGAAUGGGGAAGGGGUGACAGCAUAGGAACACCUUGAAGAGGCAGACAGUACAAACAGCACAUAGUAAUAUAUUUAGCAAAUUAUCUUAUAGACCACAGAAAAUAAAGGGAGAAGGAGGGGGAGGGAAACAGAGUCUCAUGCCAAGAAUGACUAAAGGCCUGAUUCUGAUCGUGGUGACACCACUCUAAGUCGGAAGUUGCUCAGAUGAUGUUAAACCUGCCUUGAUGCUUGUAAAAGUGAGAUCAGGAUUUAGGCUGGAUGCUCAGUGCACAUUUAGGAAUGGGAUUUCCCUGAUUUAUCCUGUUAGAGCAAGUAACAACAUAUUGACCUGCUAGGCAAGAAGAAGGGAAGCCCAAAAAAGUGCAGGUCUUCCUGCACUGAUUUCCACCUUGAUUUGCCCAUGUCAAGGAAUUUUCAAUUUCAAUCGGACCUUGUGCCAAGUUCCUGCAUCUCUCUCAUGUUCAUCCUGCCUGUUCUGCAGACACAAGGGUGCCCUUUCUGCUCACCAGGGCAGCAUGCUAUGCAGUUUUCACUGGUGUUUGAACCUUGGUGAUUGCUUAUGACAGAGCAACACUAAAACAGAGACUCUUUUACACUUUCCCCCGCUUUUAGCCUUGGCCCAGAUUUCUGCACCUAGUUGCUCUAUACAUUACAUAGGGUAUUUUACUCCUGCAUGGGCUAAUACAUUACUCAAGGAACUUUAUUUUGAGUAGCUAAUCAUAUUCUUUUGCUUUAUUGCUCUUUAUAGCACCGAUCUCUGCAAGAUCUUCCCUCUUCCCACUGAUACUCCUGGAUCCUUGAGUUUUCUCUGUGAGUUGAAAUGUUUUACAUUGGUUUCUCAUUUACUUCAGUCCAGCCUCCAGAAGCUCUGCUAUUCCAUCCUCAUCUCAUGGACAGGGAGGAAACUUUCUGCUGUGGGGAGAUUCUGAUAACCAAGCUUUCUCUUUCUGACUCAGUCUGCUGUCCCCAUCCUGGAGAGAGGGAUGAAUCUCUGAGGACAAGUUGUUUUCCCCUCCUUCCUGGAAGAGGCUUCCAGGCAUAAGAGGAGAUAGUGACCUGUCAGUCAUGUAUCUCCAAGAAGCCCAGCAUGAGAUUAACUGAACAAGGGAUCCCAGACCUAAGAGGGUGGGAGACCUAACCUUGACAGGAAACAUGAUCAACCCUGCUGCAGCACCAUCCCAGGCAUAUACCAUAUACCAAGGGAAUGCCAGAAGAACUUUGCCUGCCAUGGAGAUGUGCAGAAAUGGCAGUGUGGGGCUGGCACUCACCCAGCACACCCAGCAGCUCCAGGCAAAUGUGUCAAGGAGUACAAGCAGGAGCCCCAACACUUUAGAAUGGGUACCAAAGUCUGGAUGUUGGGCUUAAGAUGAAAGCCUGGAUCCCUAGAAAUGUAAUAGCCAUCAUGCAUUACGGUACACAGGAACUGUCCUGUGAGAUUGAACAAAUGGUUCGUCUAGCUCAGAUCCCUGGCAGUGGUCAGCAGCACAAAUUCAGCCUGCAGAAAUGGCCAAAACAAAGCCCUGGGCCAGGAUCCAGAGCUGGGCAGGAAUCUCAUUUUCAGUUUCUGAAUAUUGGGUUGGUAUUCUGAUGUCAUGUAUCAUCUAAAAAGCUUUUCUUUAUUCCCAUCUCUAGAAUCUAUCACUCUUCCUCCUCCCCUUCCCUGAGAUAUCAGCAAUUAUAAGAAAAUACCAGCACCUGAAGGCUGCAUCAGAAGGAAGAGCCAAGUGGCUGAUAACACCUUCUGUUCAAGGAGUGGUGUUUGGUCCCAGCUUUCACCUGAUACAUGGCAGAGCUGACUUUCCUUACUAUCCAGUUUAGGGAAAUUCAGAGGUGGGGUUUAAUCUCCAACCUCUUCUUCCUAUAACACACAAGACUGUAGGUAAAAAAGUCUCCCUGGAUGUCUAGGCAUCCCUCCUGCCCUGUCCUGAAGCUCUGGCUGGACAGUAAUUCCUACAAGGAGCUGCUCUCAGCAGUUCUUCGAUGGUGGACUUCGCCUUCCCAUUUCAAAGUUAACAAAGUACUUGAGCCUGCACGUGUUAACUUCCCAUCCAGAGCAUAACCCUUUCUGCUUUCCAGGCUGAAGCAUAAACAUUACAAAUGAAAUCUCCAACGGGUAAAGAACGAACAAUCGCUUUCUUAAUUUUUUUUUGAAGGCACUUUAGGGCUUUUAUCAGCAAAGCAUUGUGUCCAUUAAGAAACAAAUUAAGUCAUUCUGCAGGCAAGCUAAGUGCUGUUUCCCUGCCAGAAUUAAUACUUCCUCUUUCCGCCAGGAACGUUUAAGGGUCCCUUCCCCAUGCCUGGGCUUACAGUUACUUUUAGUUCAUAGCUGGAGGAUUAAUCAGUGGAGCUCCUUUGCAGAGCUUCUGAAAUAGAAAUCACAAAUCAGGGAGACUGGGAAGGAGCCUGGAAAGUGACAAAUGUGAAAUUAUGUUGCACUUUGUUGGGCGUCUGUACAGAGAAGAUGACUGUGGUGACUUACAGGUGCUCACCUGAUGUGGGGUGCAGCUGGUUCCUUUGGAAGGAGACCUCGAGUUUGGGAGAGGGAAAGGCAGGCUAGGGAGGAUGGAAGAAUGGCUGCAAACUUUAGUACCCAGACAAGACAUUGUGAGAGUUGACAGGGCUGUGUGUAUGAGGAGAUAGCUAGAGGCAAUAGCUGAAACCAACACAUUGUUCUCUGCCAUCAGGAGUGGAGAUCCUGAUUGAUGCUGGUGUGAGACCAGAAGCUAUAACUUCCUCUUUCUUUUUGGACUCUCUUGACAGAGUGCCCCAAAUCAAACUCUUGUAGAUUCCUUUUCCUCAAAUCCAUAGAUGCUGAGUCUCAGCCUGUCCCACUAAGUGCAAGACCAGACUGUGAGAUAGUCUGUCUCAUUAGUAUUAUCUGCCUACGCAUUUAAAUCUGCCAGAAGGCUUUUGGUAUUUCAUCCCCAGCCCAUCCCCUGGUGAUGUUGCAGCUGUCUGGAUGUAAUACAGGUGUGCAGAGAAGCAAAAAUUAAUGCAGUUAAUUUUCAUGUAAACAGUACCAUUAUAAGUCCCUUUAUACCAGUUAAAGUGUGACUGUGGAGGAGGAGGGAAUACUACUUUAAUUACAUCAGCUUUGAAGCUAAUAUAGUUAAGUCAGUAUGAAAAAUUAUGCACAGACUAUCCCUAAGGGUCUAAAUUGAAACAAUUUCUAUUGAAGAAAAAGUCUAAUAGAGAAAACCAUUGACAAAAUGUUGCAAAAAGAUAAACCUUUUCCCAGCUUCACACUUAGUACAUUUUGCCCAGCUAAAACCACUGUAUGUGUCUACCUUGUGGAGCUGAACAACUACGAUAGCUUAUCUGAAGGGAAGACAGCUUGACAGAGCCUAUCUUGGAACUUUUGCUUCCCCUGGGGUGUUACUUAGAGCAGGAUAAGGUGAUAGCCUGGCCACUAAAAGAAAAGGCGCACUACUACAAAGAUGCCUGAGGUUGUUAAUUAGGAUUCAUGACACUGUCAAGAAAGUCAAACAAUUGCUGCUUGUGGUCUUUACCUGACCCUCUGUUGGGCCCCAGCAUUUGUCACAUAAGAGCGUCAGAGGAGUUUUGCAUUACGUGUUGAGUUUCCCCACAAACUUCAUAGAAUCAUAGAAUGGUUUGGGUUGGAAGGCACCUCAAAGAUUAUCUAGUUCCAACACCCCUGUCACGGUCAGGGAACCUUCCACUAGGCCAGGUUGCUCUAAGCCCCAUCCAGCCUGGCCUUCACACCUUGUCUAGGCACCUGUUCCAGUGCUUUACCAACUUAUGAACUUCUCUCAGAAAAUCAGAUCAUGAAAAUUUUCCAAAUUAGUCUUUGAGUUUUUUUCCUAAGGCAAAGUAGAAAAAAAAAUUGGUGGGAAUUGCCCUCAGUUUCCAACAGUCUCAACUGCUAAUAUCAUCAGAUGCAUUAAAAUAACCCCCUUGUCUGGGAAAGAAGGUGUGUUUGAAACAUCUCUCCCCAUGGUUUAGGCAGAGAACCAAAGCACCUCAAGGUGUGUGCUGAUGGCAGGCACAAUUCCACCCUGGGUCUAAGUGGGGGAGAGAGCAAAUGCUCUGCCUAGAUUUGACAGUCAAGGGACUGGAGGUAUCCUGAUGUGCUUUGCCACCUGCAUGACCCACAUCUGUCCAUGCUGGGUCAACAUGGAAGGCUGCAGCAGUCCUUGUCACCUCCUUUUGCCUGCAAAGGACAGUGGAAUCCAUCCAUCAAUAUCUGGUUGUGCAUGGAGAAAGACAGCCUGCCUCUUUCUUCUCCCCAGUACCCCCCUAUUUACAGCAGGUACUGAGUCACAAGCACACGUGAUACAGACUGUCUUGCGCAAAACUCAUGGCACAAAUACAGAAGUUUUAUUAUUUUCCUUGCACUGACUCUCUUUUAGGCAGCUGAGUCUGUUUGUGUUUUUUUUUUUAACUCUGCAUAUUCAGGCCAGUACCUUCUGCAUAUCACUCCAGGGAGACAUGAGCUGCCUUGCUUUUGACCAUUUUCUCCUUGCUGCAAGGGAUGCUUUUCUGCCAGAGGAGCUUCAAAAAAUGCUUCCCCAAUCUCUGAAGCAGUCAAAUAUGGGGACAAGAAUGUGUGAAUAUAUUGAUCAGAGGGCUGGUCCCAUGCUGCCAGGCCCACAUGACCAUCCUCUUACCCUUCUUUUCAAUCUGUUAGACAGCUGUCAUCCAGCUCAGAGCCCAAAUAUUCAUCUUACUGCUGAGGUGUCAUCCUUAAAACAGCCUGGCAUGCUGACAUGGGCACUAGGGAAAACAGCCCCACAUUGACAUCAGACACCAAACUCGUCCAUCCUGGCAAGCCAGCACCAGCAUUUGACCUUUGAAGAUUUAUUGCCUUUCUUCUUUGCAGCUGGGGACUUGGAGAAAGGGGUGAAAAGUGAAAUGGGGGCAGAGGACUGGUGCUAGAGCUCAGCUCAGCUGGCUGUUCUGUUGACUUGCUUUUAUUUAGGAGCCCUGAAUUAUGGUUUUCACUACUUCCUGCCCUUGCUAGUGUGGGAAUGUAAACCUGCCUUUGUAAAUAGCUGGAGGAACAGUAAAUAUUUUGUGUGUGUGUGUGUGUGUGUGCUGUCUAAGAAUAGGAAAAAAAUCUUAAUUGUUGUUCACUUCUUAAGAGUGUAUUGGGGAAGGGCCCCUACGGAAGUCAACUAUGGAAAAUAUGAAUUUCCAUAUGGGAAUCUGAGCUCAAACAUCAGAUCAUACAGACAGGAGGUGGCUUAUAUGGUAUGGAAGAGAGGUAGAGGGGGAAAAGGAAGUGAAUGCAAUGUCACAGUGUGUUGUACAGUUAAUGAUUACAAGCAGACAGAUCGCUAAGAUCACAGUGAUCUCCAGUGGAGCAUCUGACACUGUGUGCAGAGAAGGAAACGACUGCACAGAGAGGAGAAAGGAGCCCCCCUGAAAAACACAGCCCUAUUUGAGAGCAUGGACAGUGUCUGUCCUGAUGUCUGGCACUGCCUGGAGAUGACUUGCCAUAGGGCAUAUUGACGCCAUACAUCAGCGAGACCAAACGGGGAACUGUCCAGAUCUUUCCAGAUCACUCUCCAAACCUUAGCACAGAAUUGCAGCCUCCAAAUCAGCCUGACCAUUAUGAAAAUUCAAUUGCAGGUGAAGGCUCAGUAGCACUUCCCAUUUCUGGCUCUGCUUCCUGAAGAAUUUUUGUUACCUCUUCUUCCCCCUCCAUCCCUUCCCUAUGUUCCCCUUUGCAGCGCUGUGGGGAGCUGCUGCGAGCAGAGAGCUUUUGAGAGCUCCUGGGUGUUGCAGUGCCAACCUACCAGACAAGAGAGGAAAAUCCCAAGAGAGAAAUAUUUCUGAGGCCAUAGAAAACAGCAUCUCCUUGUUGUCUCCCCACACUCAGCACCGAAGUACACCUGGGAGCACAAGGCACGUCUGUUACCCACUAUAUGCACCAUCUGGGAGAUUUGUUCAUGCCACAGCAAAAAGUGGGGUCAGGCCCAAAAGAAUGGGAGCUGUGUUUUGUCGAUACAUGCCCAGCUCCUAGGAUUAGAGGUGCCUUAUUCUCAGCAACUUUGAGCAGAGACUUCAAAGGCAGAGACAUGUGAGGCACUAAAGCAGCCACCCUCUGGAGAAACUGGCUUCAGUUUGGCUGACCCUGCAAGGAGUUUAAGGAGUGUCCUGUCCAAAUGUGCCAGGACAAAGGACUUGGCUUGGCUUGACCCUUGAUUGUAGCAGACUGGUUAUUGUAAAAAGACUAUUUUAAUUUUUAUAAUGCUAUCAUGGCUAGGCUUCGCAAACAAAGAUUUGGGAAGGGCUCUACUUACAUUUGCUGCAAGCACGCUGGUGGCUAAAAAGGCAAAUACGAGAUAGACAAGUCCAGUUGCAAAAGGCACAGCAGGACUCCUUAGGUGGUAUAGUUUAUAAUGCUAUAAAUGUACAUGAAACACUGCUAUUUAAAAAUGUGGUGGAAGUUUCACAGAGUUUGAAGCAAAGGUUUCCAGGAACAGACCCCUUUUAUAUAAAUGUUAAUCCUCAAGGUCCGAAUCAAGUAUGGCAUGGGUUGUGCUUGAUGCUUCCCGGGAGGGAAGGUUAUGCUUCAUAAGUAGUAUCUGUGAUUUUUAAGGGAGCAUUUGUUUGAAGACCAGUUGUACUUCAAAUUAAAGUUGGAAAAAUGCAACAUAGCAGCUGCAGGCUUGUAAAAGCACUGUAGGUAAAUACACUGUUAAGCAAGUGAGUUCUGGCUUGGGGGUCCAGUGGUGGCCCCACUGGAGGUUUGAGUAGUCCAUGCACAAAGAUCAACCCCCACAGUCUUAUAUAGCCUUAUAUAUCCUUAUAAAGGGAGCUUAUUGGCUCCUUUUUUGCUAUACUGCUUUGUCAUGUUUCAAGAUCACAGAAUACUAUGAUGAAUAAUAUGAUCCUGGUACUAAAACUUACUGUAUCUCACAAAUGGUGUUUUACCAUAAUGAAAAUUAGUCAUUUGUUCCUCUUAAUUGUCUUUUGCUUUGCAGCCUUGCUUUAGUUUAUGAUGUUGCUUUAGCUCUGGCUACUUAAUUUAUGCAAUUUCGUCUUAAGAAAGACUUCAUCAAAAGUUCUGUUGGAAUCCAAUAGCCUUUAGCAACCAAUUCUCCAUUGCCUUUUUAUACAAAGAAGUCCAAUCGACCAAUGAAACAUGAUUUUCCUGUGUUGAAAAUUUGCUUAAUAUAUCUCAAUCAGUGAUGCUGUAAUUAUGUUUUAAAUUUUCAUUACAAAACUUGUUUGUAAGAGUAAGAUGUAUUGAUUUGCAUGAGUAAGCCUAGUGUUUCUGAAAAUGGUAGACUUGGUGUUUGCUAUCUUUCAGCCAACUAAUUUUAUUGAGAGAUUAUAUAUUUUCCUUCAUAAUUUCUUUCUCAGGAGCCUUCAGGAUUCUUUAACCUGGGCCAUCAGAGACUGGUGAUUUACAGUUCUUUAAUGUAGCACAUUUAUUCCAGCAUUUUUUCUUUUGACACAUCAAUUCCUGACAGUGUCUCAUCCUUACAUGUAGGUUGUUAGCUCACAUAUAAUUAAGCUUGUCCAGCAUUUCCCAUACUAAAAUCUUAUUUUUUGUUAUGUAAGACCUUUUCUAGGCAGAGAUUUUUCAUGGUUACUCAGUCUUCGUUUUUGGAAUGCAUGUAUUUAUGUCUGUUUCAUCCAAAAUGAUGUAACAGCUUUGAAGAAUGAAGCCAGAAAAAAAAUUAUGCCUCUGUCCACAUUAAAAAAUAAAGGUAAUGUUUCUCUUUAAA